UGUAUAAAUUUUACUGAUUUUGAUAUUUUUCUGUUGACUUAAUUUUAUAGGCUUGGUUUGAAGAAGCUUGCGCAGACUAAGAAAGAAAAGAAGGCUGCAAAAGAUCCUAAGAAAUCUCCAAGUGCCUUCUAUGGAGGAGUUCAGGAAGCAGUACAAAGAGAAGCAUCCUAACAACAAAUCUGUUCCCGCUGUGAGAAAGCUCCUUAUCAAGCAAAAGCAGAGAAAAGGAAGGUUGAGUACUAAAAGAGCAUGAGGGCUUAUAACAACAAACAAGCUGGUGUUUCAAAUGAAGAGGAGGAAUCUAACAGGUCAAGGUCUGAGGUUAACGAUGAGGACGAUGACGAAGAGGGAAGUGUUAAUAUUUUGCUAUAUUGUCGAUAGAAAUUUUUAUUUUGACAGAUACACGUUAAAUACUCUUACUAUAAUAAUUAUUUUAAUCCAGUGCUUGCUUGUUUAUUUGACAGGAGGAAGAUGAUGAUUAGACAUAUAUUGGCAGAUGAUAUGAAGAAAAAGGCACCAGAAUUUAGUGUCGGAAGAAAUAGCAUAUGACAUCUAUUAGCCUAUCCCUUAAUAAAUAGUAGUUGCCUUUUUUGUUUUUUGUUUUAAUGGGCUUAGUUGGGAAAGACCAAAAGAAAUUAGAUGAGCUCAAGUUGUUCAUGUACUCUAUUUUCUUGGUGCUUAAUGAUAAUGAUAAUUCAACUA